rnacentral:misc_RNA from 1 species
GAUGAAGAACGCAUCGAAAUGCGAUACUUGGUGUGAAUUGCAGAAUCCCGUGAACCAUCGAGUCUUUGAACGCAAGUUGCGCCCGAAGCCAUUAGGCCGAGGGCACGCCUGCCUGGGCGUCACACGUCGUUGCCCCCCCAUCUACUCCUUCGGGAUUGCGGGGGGCGGAUGAUGGCCUCCCGUGCGCCUCGUCGCGCGGUUGGCCUAAAUGCCAAGUCCUCGGCGACGCACGCCACGACAAUCGGUGGUUGCGAAACCUCGGUUGCCCGUCGUGUGCGGUCGUCGCGCAUCGAGGGCUCGAAAAAAUUGCCGGGCUUCGGCUCGACUUUCAACGCGACCCCAGGUCAGGCGGGGUUACCCGCUGAAUUUAAGCAUAUCAAUAAGCGGAGGA